rnacentral:tRNA from 1 species
UGUUAUGUUGCUUAGUUGGUUAAAGCACCGAACGACCGGAUACGCAGUCGUGGGUUCGAAUCUCACCAAUACAA